rnacentral:snRNA from 12 species
GUUUUUGCGCAGGUGCAAUACACCAUCAAGUGAGGAUAAUUCCGAUGAGGUGUUUUUGCUAAUUGAAAACUUUUCCCAAUACCCCGCUAUUAGUUUUACUGAUCAUAGUAAAACUUUUAGCAAUUUUUAAAGGUCCGACAAGGA